rnacentral:lncRNA from 1 species
AAAUAUCCGCCGAUUCCACGCCCCUGGUUAAAAUUAUUUUUGUUUAGUAGAUUCUGAAGAAUAAACUUAGGUACUAUCAAUAAUUUAUGUCCCAAAAUUGGUUGCGGUAGCUAAAGUACUUCCGAUGCUAUAAAACGAAAACUAGUUUUAAAAGGUUAGCUACAAAGCUUUAGCUCACUAAGAAAGCAUUUCCGGAACCUUUAUUUUUUGACGUUUUCUAUCUACCCUAGAAGUUUGUAACAUGGUCAACGGAACACCCUGUAUGUUCUUCUCCAUUACAUGGGAAACAUAAUCCUUCCAUCGUUCGAUAAUGGUCCCAGGAAAAUAAACACAGAAGUUUUCAAUUUCGUACUCGAUACCUCCAUAUUUGGGAUGAGAUUUUGGAUUUUUAAACGCCCAGAAAUAUUUUGAGUCGCUUUAAAAGUUCUUCUUCCCAUUCAAAUCUUCCCUGAUUUUGAUUGUAAUUGGUCUAAUGUCAACUAGGCGGCUGUCCUGUUCAUAAUGCGAUUAUGGAAUAUUUUUCAGAGAUUGACGAUAUUAAAUGGCCUUCUAGUGUCCGCGAGAGAAAAUUGUUGAAGAUACCGAUUCCAUUUCGCUAAAAACUCUUUUGGAAGUACGAAAUGACUUUUAUCAGCCUGAAUCCAUAUUGAUUUGAGGAAAACACGGAUAGAAGUUAGUUAAAGUCCAGUUCAGAGAUCUAUUAGAAUCUUUGAUGUGUCGCAGAUGCCGCACUAACUAGUCCGUGCGCCUAUGUCAUAUUUAUUGUUGCAUGAUAUAUAUGUUUAAAUGGCAAAAUUUUAUAUUGUCUAUCUAUGAAAUCAUUUUAAAUAUACGUAAAACCCCAUGUUUUAUACUAUUUUUUAUUUUUCUUUCGAAAGUGUCAAUUUUUAGAAAGAAAAUAAUAUCACAAGAAAAUAAUAUCAAAAAAUUGACCGCGGACUAAAAUCCAAGCAUCUUACAAAAUAUUUUAAACACUUCCAGCACUCACAGACUUGUCACCUCUUUUUAGCCAGUCUAUUAAACAAAGAUAAAACACCUGCGUUCUGACAAUUCCUACUUUAGGCUGUCCAAGUGAUUGUGUAUCUCUCUCUAUCCCACUGAAUUUAAGAAUUACGGGGCCGUACCCAAAUAAAUUUUUGGACCGUUUUUGUAUUAUUUUGGUUGGAUGGGUCUAUCAGCUUUAAUAGUUGGGAGGGGGGCCAUGUGAGGUUAUUAUUUGAUGUGUUUUUCCGGUUAUGCUUUUUACACGUUUAUGAAAGUAAAGAAUUUAGAAUUUGGCUUGUAUUCCUGUAAAUUUGUUGCAGUUUUUACUGUGAGGAACAGUGUUUUUUUAUUUGUGUUUGUGGAUUUGUUUUGGUAUUAUACCUAAAUACCUUAAAAUGUUUCGACCCUGGAAAAAUAGGCAGGAAAAUUUGGCAAAUGAAGAGGAAAGUGUUUGUGCGAGCUUAUGGAGACCGUGGGUGUACAAGAAAGACAAUAACAUUUGUGAUAAAAACAAUAAGAGUGAUCUGGGCAGUGAUUUAGACUUACAUAGUUCUGAUAGUUCAUUUUCCAGUAUUGAGGAAGCAAAAAGAAGCAAGGGAAGUAGAAGAAACAGAGGAAAUCAAGCAGUUUUUAAAGAACAAAUUUAUCUAAAUAUCUAUAACAAUCUAAGGAAUGAUACUCAGUUCACAAAUGAUUGUAGUGCUUUGCAAAAAAUAGCGUUUUUAACAGGGGUUCCCUAUAAGACAAUAUGCCUGUAAAAAAAAGGAUUAAAGACAGAAUAAAAAGGAAAGAUGCAGGACAAUCAAAGGGACUUGACAUGGAUAUUGCCAAAUUGCUAAGGAAAGCUGUGUAUUCUAAAUACAAAAACAAUGAGGUUCUGACCAUAUAGACACCUUAUCGGCAAGGGACAAACAUUUCUCAGUCUCAACCUUGCGGAGAUACCUGAUAAAACUUGGAUUUAAGCUUAAGAUGGUUAACAAAAGAGCUGCUGUAAUGGAAUUGUCAGGUGGUGUAUAGAAUAUUUGAGGAAAAUUAAAAAAAGUUGGGAGGAAGAAAGAUCCAUAUAUUAUUUAGCCGAAACAUGAUAUGAUACAUUUAUGAUUGAUGUAUGAUUUGCAUUCUCUGGGAAAAAUCCUGUUUUGCUAUGCUUACUACCCCUGUUGUCCUUCAGCAACACAAUAAAGACUGCUUCUUCCUCCAUUCUCUGGAAAAAAGUCCCUUUUUUGCUAUACUUACUGCCCCUGUUUGUCCUUCAGCGACACAAUAAAGUAUAUAUAAUGUAAUGCUUUAGAAUCCAUAUGCUGAUGUGCGAGAUGAAGUUGGAAUCCAUGGCGGCAACAGAGAAACUAUUUCCUUCCUUAAUGGAAGAAACUGCUAAAGAACAAUGGCAAAAAAACAGAAUUUACAAAAUUUGUAUUAACUUUUUGGGCCAGAUUCAAAAGAGUGGUUAAAUUUAUAAAAGUAUUUAGUAUCCUCGCUGUAGUUUUAGGAUCCAGUAUACUUAAAAUGUAGUGUUUUGUAUAAGAUGUUUAGUUUUUAGUAUAAGCAUUUAUUUUUGUUAAUUUUUAUCUAAACUCUCCUAAUAUGCAUAAUAACUAAA